GGGCAGUCCAUGGGGCAGAUGGAAUUGGGGAGUGUUUUUCCCAGGAACAGUACUGAUUCUGAAUUUCAACCACACAGGGUCCCUUUUUAUCUGCAGAAAAGACAUAUCAUUGCAGCCUACGCAGAGGUUCAUAGCAGAACUGAACCUUCUCCCUGCUAACAUAUAGUCUUUUGGCAGCAGAUGUGUAUCGGUUAUGGGGUAAGCCAGCAAGGAAGGUGCAGCAGGUGUGCAGAAGGAAGGUGGAGAGGAAAGUUACAACAAGGAGGUUCUUGGAGAUAAUAAGUCACCUAGCUAAGUCACAGCGACAGCAGUUGGGAAGGAAAACCAUAGAGAGACCGUGUGAACUGUUGUGCGGUAAAGAAAUACUAGGCUUUCUUUGUUCCUUCCUCCUUGAACGAUCCUGCAAACCCGCAGGCAAGGCCAAACAGCAGCUCCUUUAGCUGCGAGCUCAGACGACUGCUAUAAACAAGGUCUCCUACGUAACCACGUAUGGUGAACUGCACUUACAGAUUAGGUACUCCAAACUUUAGACUAAAUACAAAUAUGGGGAGGUUAAAGAUUAAUCAUGGCAAAAAUGGGAGGGGUGAACUGUGGCAUAGAUGCCGUUUGUCAACAACUGAGUUCA